GACGAACGCUGGCGGCGUGCCUAAUACAUGCAAGUAGAACGCACAGUUUAUACCGUAGCUUGCUACGCCAUAGACUGUGAGUUGCGAACGGGUGAGUAACGCGUAGGUAACCUGCCUGGUAGCGGGGGAUAACUAUUGGAAACGAUAGCUAAUACCGCAUAAUAUUGAUUAUUGCAUGAUAAUUAAUUGAAAGGUGCAAUUGCACCACUACCAGAUGGACCUGCGUUGUAUUAGCUAGUAGGUGAGGUAACGGCUCACCUAGGCGAAGAUACAUAGCCGACCUGAGAGGGUGAUCGGCCACACUGGGACUGAGACACGGCCCAGAAUCCUACGGGAGGCAGCAGGAGGGAAUCUUCGGCAAUGGACGAAAGUCUGACCGAGCAACGCCGGGUGAGGGAAGAAGGUUUUCGGAUCGUAAAGCUCGGUUGUAAGAGAAGAACGGGUGUGAGAGUGGAAAGUUCACACUGUGACGGUAUCUUACCAGAAAGGGACGGCUAACUACGUG
rnacentral:rRNA from 1 species